rnacentral:rRNA from 1 species
GAUGAACGCUGGCGGCGUGCCUAAUACAUGCAAGUCGAGCGAACGGACGAGAAGCUUGCUUCUCUGAUGUUAGCGGCGGACGGGUGUGUAACACGUGGAUAACCUACCUAUAAGACUGGGAUAACUUCGGGAAACCGGAGCUAAUACCGGAUAAUAUUUUGAACCGCAUGGUUCAAAAGUGAAAGACGGUCUUGCUGUCACUUAUAGAUGGAUCCGCGCUGCAUUAGCUAGUUGGUAAGGUAACGGCUUACCAAGGCAACGAUGCAUAGCCGACCUGAGAGGGUGAUCGGCCACACUGGAACUGAGACACGGUCCAGACUCCUACGGGAGGCAGCAGUAGGGAAUCUUCCGCAAUGGGCGAAAGCCUGACGGAGCAACGCCGCGUGAGUGAUGAAGGUCUUCGGAUCGCAAAACUCUGUUAUUAGGGAAGAACAUAUGUGUAAGUAACUGUGCACAUCUUGACGGUACCUAAUCAGAAAGCCACGGCUAACUACGUGCCAGCAGCCGCGGUAAUACGUAGGUGGCAAGCGUUAUCCGGAAUUAUUGGGCGUAAAGCGCGCGUAGGCGGUUUUUUAAGUCUGAUGUGAAAGCCCACGGCUCAACCGUGGAGGGUCAUUGGAAACUGGAAAACUUGAGUGCAGAAGAGGAAAGUGGAAUUCCAUGUGUAGCGGUGAAAUGCGCAGAGAUAUGGAGGAACACCAGUGGCGAAGGCGACUUUCUGGUCUGUAACUGACGCUGAUGUGCGAAAGCGUGGGGAUCAAACAGGAUUAGAUACCCUGGUAGUCCACGCCGUAAACGAUGAGUGCUAAGUGUUAGGGGGUUUCCGCCCCUUAGUGCUGCAGCUAACGCAUUAAGCACUCCGCCUGGGGAGUACGACCGCAAGGUUGAAACUCAAAGGAAUUGACGGGGACCCGCACAAGCGGUGGAGCAUGUGGUUUAAUUCGAAGCAACGCGAAGAACCUUACCAAAUCUUGACAUCCUUUGACAACUCUAGAGAUAGAGCUUUCCCCUUCGGGGGACAAAGUGACAGGUGGUGCAUGGUUGUCGUCAGCUCGUGUCGUGAGAUGUUGGGUUAAGUCCCGCAACGAGCGCAACCCUUAAGCUUAGUUGCCAUCAUUAAGUUGGGCACUCUAAGUUGACUGCCGGUGACAAACCGGAGGAAGGUGGGGAUGACGUCAAAUCAUCAUGCCCCUUAUGAUUUGGGCUACACACGUGCUACAAUGGACAAUACAAAGGGCAGCGAAACCGCGAGGUCAAGCAAAUCCCAUAAAGUUGUUCUCAGUUCGGAUUGUAGUCUGCAACUCGACUACAUGAAGCUGGAAUCGCUAGUAAUCGUAGAUCAGCAUGCUACGGUGAAUACGUUCCCGGGUCU